CAAAAGUGAGGAGACACUCCUAGCAGAAUAUCAAAAUGCCAGUUCAGUGACUAGAAGCUUCUAACAGUGAGGCGAUGGUCCAGUCCUGGUCUUAAGAGGGUAUUGAGGAAAUGUAAGCCCAGAAGGAAAAUUUACAGCAAGACCCCAAGCCUUUGAGUAGGAGAGAGGCUGCUCCAAGGUGGACUGUCCGUGGGCCAAAGAUGGAGGAGAAUCAGCAAAGGAUCACAAGUUUCCAGGCAAGAUAUUGGAGGUUCUUUGGGCCUGUGUUUGUUGAUUCAUGCUUGGCUGCUGUCAGUGCUAUGGAUUUGCCUCUUAGUACGGCUUUAGAGGCUUCCCAAACCAUAGUGCUAGAUACCACACAAUGUUGAGUUAAUUGGAAGUACUCUUCUAUCUCUUUUUGGAGUUCAUGUCUCGUGUGUUAUUGGGUCAAUCAAUAAAUUUUUGUUAA